UUUUUUAAAGCCAAAUGGCCCUUUGGCCGUCAUACGCUUCUAGGUGUCCGAAGCCCGAUCAUACGAAAGUAGCUUUAACAAAGCCCACCUGACCCCACGAAAGCUGAGAAACAAACUGGGAUUAGAUACCCCACUAUGCUCAGCCAUAAACCUAGACAUCCAACUACAAUUAGAUGUCCGCCCGGGUACUACGAGCAUCAGCUUGAAACCCAAAGGACCUGACGGUGCCUCAGACCCCCCUAGAGGAGCCUGUUCUAGAACCGAUAACCCCCGUUAAACCUCACCACUUCUAGCCAUCCCAGCCUAUAUACCGCCGUCGUCAGCUUACCCUGUGAAGGUAAUAAAAGUAAGCAAAAUGGGCACAACCCAGAACGUCAGGUCGAGGUGUAGCGUACGAAGUGGGAAGAAAUGGGCUACAUUUUCUAUCACAGAACACUACGAACAUGCAACAUGAAAUAGUGCUUGAAGGAGGAUUUAGUAGUAAAAAGGAAGCAGAGUGUCCUUUUGAACCCGGCUCUGAGGCGCGUACACACCGCCCGUCACUCUCCCCUGUCAAAACGCAACAAAGAUACUUAACACUAAAGCACUGACAAGGGGAGGCAAGUCGUAACAUGGUAAGUGUACCGGAAGGUGCACUUGGAUUAAACCCAGGGCGUGGCUGAGUUAGUCAAGCAUCUCACUUACACCGAGAAGACAUCCAUGCAAGUUGGAUCGCCCUGAGCCAAACAGCUAGCUUAACCACCAAUAUAACCUAACAAUGUUAAUAACAAAACAUGACUUAACACCACAAACUAAACCAUUUUUUUACCUGAGUAUGGGAGACAGAAAAGGUUCAACCCAAAGCAAUAGAAAAAGUACCGCAAGGGAAAGCUGAAAGAGAAAUGAAACAACCCAUAUAAGCACUAAAAAACAAAGACUAAACCUUGUACCUUUUGCAUCAUGAUUUAGCCAGCACCCUCAAGCAAAGAGACCUUUAGUUUGAAACCCCGAAACCAGGUGAGCUACCCCGAGACAGCCUAUUUAAAUUUAGGGCUAACCCGUCUCUGUGGCAAAAGAGUGGGAAGAGCUCCGGGUAGAAGUGAUAGACCUACCGAACCUGGUGAUAGCUGGUUGCCUGAGAAGUGGAUAGAAGUUCAGCCUCGUACGCCCCAAAUCAAAAAAUAUAACAUUAAGACAUAAGGGAUACAUACGAGAGUUAGUUAAAGGGGGUACAGCCCCUCUAACAAAGGAUACAACCUUCACAGGAGGAUAAAGAUCAUAAUAUAUAAAACAUGCUGUUUUAGUGGGCCUAAAAGCAGCCAUCUAAAUAGAAAGCGUUAAAGCUCAGACAGAAAGAAGUUUAUUAUACUGAUAAAAAAUCUUAUUCCCCUAACAAUAUCAGGCUAACCCAUGCCCACAUGGAAGAAAUUAUGCUAAAAUGAGUAACAAGAAGACCUGCUCUUCUCCAAGCACAAGUGUAAGCCAGAUCGGACAGACCACUGGAAAUUAACGAACCCAACCCAAGAGAGUAAUGUGAAUAAUAGAAAAACCAAGAAAAACCCACAACCAAACAAUCGUUAACCCCACACUGGAGUGCUAUUUUUAAAGGAAAGACUAAAAGAAAGGGAAGGAACUCGGCAAACACAAGCCUCGCCUGUUUACCAAAAACAUCGCCUCCUGCAACUAAACUGAGUAUAGGAGGUCCAGCCUGCCCAGUGACUACGGGUUCAACGGCCGCGGUAUUUUGACCGUGCAAAGGUAGCGCAAUCACUUGUCUUUUAAAUAGAGACCUGUAUGAAUGGCUAAACGAGGGCUUAACUGUCUCCCCCUUCAAGUCAGUGAAAUUGAUCUAUCCGUGCAGAAGCGGGUAUAACCAUACAAGACGAGAAGACCCUUUGGAGCUUAAGGUACAAAAUUCAACCACGUUAAGCAACUUAAUAAAAAGCAAAAACUUAGUGGAAAAUGAAAUUUUACCUUCGGUUGGGGCGACCACGGAGGAAAAACAAGCCUCCGAGUGGAAUGGGCCAAACCCCUAAAACCAAGAGAAACAUCUCUAAGCCACAGAACAUCUGACCAAAAAUGAUCCGGCUAAUAAAGCCGAUCAACGAACCAAGUUACCCUAGGGAUAACAGCGCAAUCCUCUCCCAGAGUCCAUAUCGACGAGGGGGUUUACGACCUCGAUGUUGGAUCAGGACAUCCUAAUGGUGCAGCCGCUAUUAAGGGUUCGUUUGUUCAACGAUUAAAGUCCUACGUGAUCUGAGUUCAGACCGGAGCAAUCCAGGUCAGUUUCUAUCUGUAACGCUACUUUUCCUAGUACGAAAGGAUCGGAAAAGAGGGGCCCAUACUUAAAGCACGCCCCACCCCUAAUUAAUGAAAACAAAUAAAUUAAACAAAGGGAGGGCCAAAACCCCAACCGCCCGAAAUAAGGACAUACUGGGGUGGCAGAGCAUGGUAAAUUGCGAAAGGCCUAAGCCCUUUAAACCAGAGGUUCAAAUCCUCUUCCCAGUUUAUGCUAAACACUCUAAUAAACCACCUGAUCAACCCCCUAGCCUACAUCGUGCCUGUCCUGCUAGCAGUAGCCUUCCUAACUCUAAUCGAACGCAAAGUAUUAGGAUACAUACAACUACGAAAAGGGCCAAAUGUGGUCGGACCAUACGGUCUCCUACAACCUAUCGCCGACGGAGUAAAAUUAUUUAUUAAAGAGCCAGUCCGCCCUUCUACAUCCUCCCCAUUCCUAUUCUUAGCCACCCCCAUUCUUGCAUUAACUCUAGCCCUAACUCUAUGAGCACCCAUACCCAUACCAUACCCAGUAAUUGAUCUCAACCUAGGAGUUCUCUUUAUCCUAGCCCUAUCAAGCCUCGCAGUAUAUUCUAUUCUAGGAUCAGGAUGAGCAUCAAAUUCAAAAUACGCACUAAUCGGAGCCCUACGGGCCGUAGCCCAAACAAUUUCCUAUGAAGUAAGCCUCGGACUAAUCCUUCUAUCAGUAAUUAUCUUCUCAGGAGGCUACACCCUACAAACAUUUAGUACGGCCCAAGAAAGUAUCUGACUAUUAGCCCCUGCAUGACCAUUAGCCGCAAUAUGAUACAUCUCAACCCUGGCAGAAACUAACCGAGCACCAUUCGACCUAACAGAAGGAGAAUCAGAGCUAGUCUCAGGCUUCAACGUAGAAUAUGCAGGAGGGCCCUUCGCCCUCUUCUUCCUAGCCGAGUAUGCAAACAUCCUAUUAAUAAAUACCUUAUCAGCUGUACUAUUUCUGGGAACAUCACACAUCCACCACAUCCCAGAAUUAACAACAAUUAGCCUUAUGACUAAGGCCGCGCUACUCUCUAUUGUAUUCCUCUGAGUACGAGCCUCGUAUCCACGAUUCCGAUACGACCAACUAAUACACCUUGUAUGAAAAAACUUCCUCCCCCUAACAUUGGCUCUAGUACUAUGACACAUUGCCCUGCCAAUCGCACUAGCGGGCCUUCCCCCACAACUAUAGUUCAGGAACUGUGCCCGAAUGCCUAGGGACCACUUUGAUAGAGUGGCCUAUAGGGGCUAAAAUCCCCUCAGUUCUU
rnacentral:tRNA from 1 species